UACAGAGGGUGCGAGCGUUGUUCGGAAUUACUGGGCGUAAAGCGCGCGCAGGCGGCCUUUUAAGUCUGGCGGUGAAAUGCCGGGGCUCAACCCCGUUGCAUGCCGCGGAUACUGGGAGGCUGGAGACGAGUAGAGGCAAGCGGAAUUCCGGGUGUAGCGGUGGAAUGCGUAGAGAUCGGCAGGAACACCCAGGGGGAAACCAGCGGACUGGGCAUUGGCUGACGCUCAAGUGCGACAGCGUGGGGAGCGAACCGG
rnacentral:rRNA from 1 species